GACGUAACUGUCGUGUGCGUCCGUCUUAUUUCGGGACUUUUACUGUGAAAAAAUUAGAGUGUUCAAAGCAGGCGAUUGCUUGAAUAUUUCAGCAUGGAAUAAUGGAAUAGGACAUUGGUUCUAUUUUGUUGGUUUCUAGGACCAAAGUAAUGAUUAAUAGGGAUAGUUGGGGGCAUUAGUAUUUAAUUGUCAGAGGUGAAAUUCUUGGAUUUAUGAAAGACUAACUUCUGCGAAAGCAUUUGCCAAGGAUGUUUUCAUUAAUCAAGAACGAAAGUUAGGGGAUCGAAGAUGAUCAGAUACCGUCGUAGUCCUAACCAUAAACUAUGCCGACUAGGGAUUGGUAGAUGUUAAUUCAAUG
rnacentral:rRNA from 1 species